rnacentral:rRNA from 1 species
AUACGGAGGGUGCAAGCGUUACUCGGAAUCACUGGGCGUAAAGCGCGCGCAGGCGGUCUUUUAAGUUGGAUGAGAAAGCCUACGGCUCAACCGUAGAACUGCAUCCAAAACUAUUAGACUAGAGUGUGGGAGAGGAAGAUGGAAUUAGUUGUGUAGGGGUAAAAUCCGUAGAGAUAACUAGGAAUACCAAAAGCGAAGGCAAUCUUCUGGAACACUACUGACGCUGAGGCGCGAAAGCGUGGGGAGCAAACAGGAUUAGAAACCCCAGUAGUCC